rnacentral:rRNA from 1 species
UACGGAGGAGGCAAGCGUUAUCCGGAAUUAUUGGGCGUAAAGCGUCCGCAGAUGGCACCUCAAGUCUGCUGUCAAAGACCGGGGCUUAACCCCAGAAAGGCAGUGGAAACUGAAGUGCUAGAGUGCAGUAGGGGUAGAGGGAAUUCCCGGUGUAGCGGUGAAAUGCGUAGAGAUCGGGAAGAACAUCGGUGGCGAAAGCGCUCUGCUGGACUGCAACUGACACUCAGGGACGAAAGCUAGGGAGCGAAUGGG